rnacentral:rRNA from 1 species
UACAGAGGGUGCAAGCGUUGUUCGGAAUUAUUGGGCGUAAAGGGCUCGUAGGCGGUCUGUCGCGUCGGGAGUGAAAACUCAGGGCUUAACCCUGAGCCUGCUUCCGAUACGGGCAGACUAGAGGUAUGCAGGGGAGAACGGAAUUCCUGGUGUAGCGGUGGAAUGCGCAGAUAUCAGGAGGAACACCGGUGGCGAAGGCGGUUCUCUGGGCAUUACCUGACGCUGAGGAGCGAAAGUGUGGGGAGCGAACAGG